rnacentral:rRNA from 1 species
UACGUAGGGUGCAAGCGUUGUCCGGAAUUAUUGGGCGUAAAGAGCUCGUAGGCGGUCUGUCGCGUCGGCUGUGAAAACCCGGAGCUCAACUCCGGGCCUGCAGUCGAUACGGGCAAACUGGAGUGUUGCAGGGGAGACUGGAAUUCCGUGGUGUAGCGGUGAAAUGCGCAGAUAUCAGGAGGAACACCGGUGGCGAAGGCGGGUCUCUGGGCCGAUACUGACGCUGAGGAGCGAAAGCGUGGGGAGCGAACAGG